rnacentral:misc_RNA from 1 species
UCUUUUCUUUUGAUAAGAGAGUUUUUAAAACCAGUGUUAUUUUUGUAAGUUUAAGAGAAGUUUGUGUAUUGAAUUUUUUAUUUUUAAUAUUAAAGAGCUUUGUUAAACUUAGACUUAAGUUUAGGUCAUUUUGGGGGUUUAGCUCAGUUGGCUAGAGCAUCGGCUUUGCAAGCCGAGGGUCAAGGGUUCGAGUCCCUUAACCUCCAUUGGGCUUAUGUCCUAAAUUGUAAUUAAGUAUGUUUUUAAGCAACUUUAUUAAAGUAAUUGUUGGAAUGUGAAACAGAGGAAGUUAAAAUUUCUGGGUUAAGUUGAGAUCUGUUGAUAUUAAGAAGAAUCUCUAGAAGCAAAAGCAAGCUUUCGAUAAAACCCGAAGUUGUUUCGCUAAAGUGCAAGGAUUAAACAGGAUUGUAUUUUCCAGCAGCCUAUUUUAUAAACGAUUUGCAUUUAGUAAAUAGUUUUUAGUUAGGAAAUAAUGUAGAUUGCUAAGUGUGAUGUCUGAAAGAAGGACAAGUAUUGUAGCGAGCCUAAAUCCUUGUUAUCGUUGCCAGUAUUUAGUGGUAGGGAUUCGGAUAAGACUGCUAUUUAUAAGUUGGAAGAAGGCAAAGAUUGCAUCAAAUCGUUAUCGCUCUUAUGUUUUAGGUUACAAGUUUGCCACAAUAACCCAAAAAAGCUAAGCAAAAUGCUAUAAAGCAGAUUUCAGUUUGGAUUUGCCCGAUACUCAAUGGCAUGAAGUUGUAAUUGUUAGUAAUCG